GAUGAACGCUGGCGGCGUGCCUAAUACAUGCAAGUCGAGCGAACAGAUCAGGAGCUUGCUCCGCUGACGUUAGCGGCGGUCGGGUGAGUAACAUGUGGAUAACCUACCUAUAAGACUGGGAUAACAUCGGGAAACCGGAGCUAAUACCGGAUGAUAUAUUGAACCGCAUGGUUCACUAGUGAAAGUCGGUUUUGCUGUCACUUAUAGAUGGAUAAGCGCCGGAUUUGCUAGUUGGUAAGGUAGCGGGUUACCAAGGCAACGAUGGGUAGCCGACCUGAGAGGGUGGUCGGCCACACUGUAACUGAGACACGCUCCAGACUCCUGGGGGGGGCAGCAGUAGGGAAUCUUCCGCAAUGGGCGAGAGCCUUACGGAGCAACGCCGCGUGAGUGAUGAAGGUCUUCGGAUCGUAGAACUCUGUUAUUAGGGAAGAACAAAUGUGUAAGUAACUGUGCAGAUCAUGACGGUACCUGAUCAAAAAGCCACGGCUAACUACGUG
rnacentral:rRNA from 1 species